GAAGGCAAUUGCAGAAGCUGGGGGCUGGUGGUAUAAAUCCCAUUGAUCCUGCAAAAGGAAAGUGCUGCUUCUAUGCUUUUAUUUUGUUUGCUGGGCCUUAGGGGCUUUCCUUUUUGUGGAAGGAAAGGGCUCACAGCCACACUCGGGAGCUGUUCUUUAGGGUGUGAAGAAACGAGUUGCCUGUGCUUUGACUGGCAGACUCCACCAACAGUGAAGCUGCUUCGCUCUGACCGUGAGAGUUUCUCCCUCCUGUGUUGAAGAUGAUAAUGUUAUGCGGUGGUGAGAUCAUCUCCCUGGAGAUGAAACUUUGCCAGCAAAGGAGCGAAUCCGUGCUACUGAAUCUCGCUGCUCAGACAUCCGAGAUGUUAAACGGAGCAAUUCAGAAAUGCAUUGGACCAUCUUGGAGACGUGAAGUCUGGCUCCACGAGUGACACAUUAAACACAAACUGCGUGUGGAGCGUAAAUAUGUUUUUGACUUUCUAGCAGAAGAGUCUCAGUUUGCUUUGUUUUGCCCUUGAUUGUAAUGCCAGAAACCAUUCUAAAUACCACUACUCUUGAUGGUGUUAGGAAACAUUAUAUGCCUCAUUUGUUCUCUAAUUUGUAUGGAAACAGCUUACUCCUGCCUUUUGGUUUCUGUAAAGCUUGCUGAUAGCCAGGGAGUCAAAUGCUUUAGUUUUGCUAUGAAUACUUUACUGUAAA